UUAUACUCCUCUUAGGUGUCACCUGGUAUAUGUCACAUGGUGGCAGGGCAGAAGGGCUCAUUCAAGUGUACUCUUAAGAUAUCCACUUUUAAUAGGACCCCAUUGGGGAUUAAUUUCCAAUAUACAAGUUUUGUAGGACUAUUGGCAUGUGGGGCAAAGUAAUGCUUAAAUAGAAGACCCUAUGUCCGUUGUUUCUAAGACAAUUUCCCCUUAAAUAAUAUGCUUUAUUGACCAGUUAACUGAAGAAUAUAAGAUAGCAUCUGAAUAUUUUAUACAACUAAUUUCUGAUUUUUUUAUUUAUUUCAGAUUUCUGGGGGACAUCAGUAAUAUUUCAUAUAAUAGUUAAUACAAGAAAUUCAGGGUUAUAUAUUAGUCGUGUCUCAGACUGGUUUUUCCACUACAAUACCUGAGAUUGAAGAAUUUAUGAAGAGUAGAAAAUCAUUGGCUCCCAGUUUGGAAGGUUUUCAAUUUUAUAUUAGGAAAUAUGACUGAACUGUGGUGUAAAGCUAAAUACCUACAAUUCAGAGAAUCCACAGACAACGUCUGCCAUCACGGAUAUCAAGAGACGUUGAACAAGGUCAACAUUAACUUUGAAAGUUUUGAUUCAGAUGCUAUUGGACAUAUAUUUUAUCAAUUUCUGGAAGGAAAAUUCCUAUCAAUUCUUAGAAGAAUGCUCUUACCUAUGGAAAACAAGGAAGAGACCAUUGGUAGGUAACCAUUGGUAGGUUACCACUAAGCUGGAACCAACAAUAGACCACUGAUGUUAGGACUUAACCAGUACUCAUUCCAAAAAUGGGGGUAGGGGAGGGAAUUAGAAAACUGAAUGACCAAACUGUUCCUGAAGACAAGAGGAGGAAAGGUCUCAGGUAAAGUCUGAGUUCUUCAGGAAUUUGGGAAGUGAACCAGCAAAUGAAAGGUCUACAUUUCCCUAUUUGUUUUCCAUCUUUCCUUCCUUCUUUCCUUCCUCCCUUCCUUCCUUCUUUCCUUCCUUCCUUCCUUCCUACCGUUCUUUCUAUUUCUUUUUUUUAAUUUUUUAUUUAGUAAAUAUAAAUUUUCAAAGUACAGUUAAUGGAUUACAUUGGCUUCCCCCACAUAAUUUCCCUCCCACUCGCACCCCUUCAUCUCCCGCUCCCUCUCCCAUUCCAUUCACAUCAAGAUCACAGAAGAUCAAUUUAGUAUAUAUUAAGUAAAGAUUUCAUCAGUUUGCACCCACACAGAAACACAAAGUGUAAAAUACUGUUUCAGUACUAGUUAUAGCAUUACUUCACAUUGGACAACACAUUAAGGACAGAUCCCACAUGAGAAGUAAGUACACAGUGACUCCUGUUGUUGACUUAACAAUUUGACACUCCUGUUUAUGGCGUCAGUAAUCUCCCUAGGCUCUAGUCAUGAGUUGCCAAGGCUAUGGAAGCCUUUUGAGUUCGCCGACUUUGAUCUUAUUCCGACAGGAUCAUGGUCAAAGUGGAAGUUCUCUCCUCCCUUCAGAAAAAGUUACCUGCUUCUUUGAUGGCCCCAUUCUUUCCACUGGGAUCUCACUCGCAGAGAUCUUCCAUUUAGUUCUUCCUUUUUUUUUUUUCCAGGGUGUCUUGGCUUUCUAUGCCUAAAAUACUCUCAUGGGCUCUUCGGCCAUAUCCGAAUGCCUUAAGGGCUGAUUCUGAGGCCAGAGUGCUAUUUAGGACAUCUGACAUUCUAUGAGUCUGCUGUGUAUCCUGCUU
ensembl:lncRNA